UUUAUCUCUAUAUUUUCUCUUUCGUGGGUUUUUGGGUGAUUGUUUUCUUUUUUUCUGUUGGGUUUUGUUUUUUUUCUUAUAUGGGGUUUUUUUUAUUUUUUGCUACUUUUUGUGAUCUAGAUAAUGUUUUGGAGAUGGUUUAGGUGGUAGAGGAUUGAUUCUGUUGGGGGGUGUUUGAUAAUGGAUUGAGAAAUUCUUGAGUUUUUGGAGAGAUUUGAUCUAGGGGUGUUGUAAUUUUGAAGAUUGUGUGUGUGUGUGAUUAAGAUUGUAUUAUGGUUUUGUAGGGGUGAUUUUAGAAAUGAAGAUUGAAGAUGGGUUGCAAAGUGUUGGUGGGAAGGAUG
rnacentral:lncRNA from 1 species